CCAAAUGGGCCAGUGCAAAUCCUACUUGGAUAACUGUGGUAAUUCCAGAGCUAAUACAUGCAACUGAUAUCCCGAAGGCGGUGUAGGGGCUUGCUUGUCUUGCGCUUGCACUGCUCUGACGGAUGCUUUUAUUAGACCAAGCCGCUGAGGACUUGAGGGUUCGCGCUCUCUUGUUUGACUCGUGUGAUGGUGACUCUGGAUAACCAAAAAUUCUGACAAGCGUACGUACUUCUCUUCUGAGCGAGACGACGCUGCCACUUUCGAGUGUCUGCCUUAUCAGCUAUCAACCGUUCGUUAUGCGCGACCGAUGGCUUUGACGGGUAACGGGGAAUCAGGGUUCGAUUCCGGAGAGGCAGCCUGAGAGACGGCUACCACGUCCAAGGACGGCAGCAGGCACGCAAAUUACCCAAUCCCAGCAAAUGGGGGAGGUAGUGACGAAAUCUAACGAUGCGGGCGCCCUUUCUGGGGCCCCGCAAUCGGAAUGGGCACUUUCUAAACAACCUGUUGAGAACCUACUGAAGG
rnacentral:rRNA from 1 species